UGCAUUCACUACUGUAAGUCGCUCUGGAUAAGAGCAUCUGCUAAAUGACGUAUA
rfam:Salmo salar isolate Sally breed double haploid chromosome ssa10, whole genome shotgun sequence.